CCCUUCUGUUUCUGUAAAUAGAUCUUCCCUGACUAACCAGCUGUUUGACGCUUUGGUGUCUACGAAGUGUAAUCCUAUAUCUUAUUUCAUGAAAUUCUAUUUUUUUGUAUUUAAUAAAAAUAUUUUCUUUAUUCAUUAUAUGUAUGUGCAAUAUGUAUGUCAAUUCUCUAUCCUAGACCUUGGCACUUCUUAUUCACAUGCAUGCAUAAUUUUUGGUCUUAUCUCAAUGAUAGCAUUUCUCCAUGUUGGAGAAACAUUAAAACUUCUGGUGCCAAUCUGUUGUCAUUUGUUAUCAAACAAUAAAUUUAAGCACCAUCUGCAGAUCUGAUAGAACAAGGGUUUGGUAAGUCAAGUUCUAGUUUCAUUCAUUGUUAUUAUAUGCUUCAGUCACUCAAAGAAGUCAUUUAAAAUAAGUAAUAUACAAAUAUUAAC
rnacentral:lncRNA from 1 species